rnacentral:rRNA from 1 species
GACGAACGCUGGCGGCGUGCCUAAUACAUGCAAGUAGAACGCACAGUUUAUACCGUAGCUUGCUACACCAUAGACUGUGAGUUGCGAACGGGUGAGUAACCCGUAGGUAACCUGCCUGGUAGCGGGGGAUAACUAUUGGAAACGAUAGCUAAUACCGCAUACUAUUUAUUAUUGCAUGAUAAUUAAUUGAAAGGUGCAAUUGCACCACUACCAGAUGGACCUGCGUUGUAUUAGUUAGUAGGUGAGGUAAAGGCUCACCUAGGCGACGAUACAUAUCCGAAAUGAGAGGGAGGGCGGCCAGACUGGGACGGAGACACGGCCCAGACUGAUACAGGAGGCAGCAGGAGGGAAUCUUGGGCAAUGGACGAAAGGAUGACCGAACAACGCAGCGGGAGUGAAGAAGGUUGUCGGAUCGUAAAGCUCUGUUGUAAGGGAAGAACGGGUGUGAGAGUGGAAAGUACACACUGUGACGGUAUCGUACCAGAAAGGGACGGCUAACUACGUG